GUUUGAUCAUAAUCAGAUUGAACGCUGGCGGGAUGCGCACACAUAGUCGAGCGGCAGCACGGACUUCGGUCUGGUGGCGAGGUGGCGAACAGGUGGUAAUGUGUAAUCGGAACGUGCCUGGCUGGCGGGGGAUAACUACGCGAAAGCGUAACUAUACCGCAUACGCCCUUCAGAGAGAAAGCGGGGGACCUUCGGGCCUCGCACUAUUAGAGCGGCCGAUAUCGGAUUGGCUAGUUGGUGGGGUAACGGCUCACCAAAGGCGACGAUCCGUAGCUGGUUUGAGAGGACGACCAGCCACACUGGGACUGAGACACGGCCCGAACUCCUACGGGGAGGGCAGCGGUGGGGGAAUUUGGAUAAUGGGGAAACCUGAUCCCAGCCAUCCCGCGUGUGCGAUGAAGGCCUUCGGGUUGUAAGCUUACUUUGGCAGGAAAGAAACGGCACGGAACAUACCCGUGCGGCAGCUGACUGCACCUGCAGAAUAAGCACCGGCUAACUACGUGCCAGCAGCCGCGGUAAUACGUAGGGUGCAAAGCGUUAAUCGGAAUUACUGGGCGUAAAGCGUGCGCAGGCGGUUCGGAAAGAAAGAUGUGAAAUCCCAGAGCGCUUUGGAACUGCAUUUUUAACUACCGAGCUGAAAGUGUGUCAGAGGGAGGUGGAAUUCCGCGUGUAGCAGUGAAGUAAAUGAAUAUGCCGGAGGAACACCGAUGGCAGAGGCAGCCUCCUGGGAUAACGCGACGCUCGCCCGCACAAAAGCGUGAGGCAAACGGGAUUAGAUACUACCAGUAGUCCACGCCCUAAACGAUGUCAGCAAGCUGUUGGGGCCUUUGGACACUUGGUAUGCCCAGCUAACGCGUGAAGUUGACCGCCUGGGAAAUACGGUCGCAAGACCAAAACUCAAAGAGAAUUGACGGGGACCCGCACAAGCGAGUGGAUGAUGUGGAUUAAUUCGAUGCAACGCGAAAAACUGCACUACCCUUGACGCCAGAGUCCCGAAGGGUGGGAGUCUCGCAAGAAAACCAGGUUUUGGAACACUGCAUGGCUCUAGUCAGCUCGUGUCGUGAGAUGUUGGGUUAAGUCACAACGAGCGCAACCCUUGUCGUGGAUUGCUGAAAGGGCCUCUAAUGAGGCUACCGGUGACAAACCGGAGGAAGGUGAGGAUGACGUCAAGUCCUCAUGGCCCUUAUGGGUGAGACUUCACACGUCAUACAAUGGUCGGGACAGAGGGUCACUUCAACCCGCGAGGAGCAAUCUGACCCGAUCGUAGUCGGAUCGCAGUCUGCAACUCGACUGCGUGAAGUCGGAAUCGCUAGUAAUCGCGGAUCAGCAUGUCGCAGUGAAUACGUUCCAGGUCUUGUACACCGCCCGUCACACCAUGGAAUGGGUUUUACCAGAAGUAGUUAACUAACCGUAAGGAGGGCAGUUACCGCAGUAGGAUUCAUGACUGGGGUGAAGUCGUAACAAGGUGG
rnacentral:rRNA from 1 species